rnacentral:rRNA from 1 species
CUACGGGCUUAACACAUGCAAGUCGAGGGGCAUCAGGAAGAAAGCUUGCUUUCUUUGCUGGCGACCGGCGCACGGGUGAGUAACACGUAUCCAACCUGCCCUUUACUCGGGGAUAGCCUUUCGAAAGAAAGAUUAAUACCCGAUAGCAUAAUGAUUCCGCAUGGUUUCAUUAUUAAAGGAUUCCGGUAAAGGAUGGGGAUGCGUUCCAUUAGGUUGUUGGUGAGGUAACGGCCCACCAAGCCUUCGAUGGAUAGGGGUUCUGAGAGGAAGGUCCCCCACAUUGGAACUGAGACACGGUCCAAACUCCUACGGGAGGCAGCAGUGAGGAAUAUUGGUCAAUGGGCGCUAGCCUGAACCAGCCAAGUAGCGUGAAGGAUGAAGGCUCUAUGGGUCGUAAACUUCUUUUAUAUAAGAAUAAAGUGCAGUAUGUAUACUGUUUUGUAUGUAUUAUAUGAAUAAGGAUCGGCUAACUCUGUGCCAGCAGCCGCGGUAAUACGGAGGAUCCGAGCGUUAUCCGGAUUUAUUGGGUUUAAAGGGAGCGUAGGUGGACUGGUAAGUCAGUUGUGAAAGUUUGCGGCUCAACCGUAAAAUUGCAGUUGAUACUGUCAGUCUUGAGUACAGUAGAGGUGGGCGGAAUUCGUGGUGUAGCGGUGAAAUGCUUAGAUAUCACGAAGAACUCCGAUUGCGAAGGCAGCUCACUGGACUGCAACUGACACUGAUGCUCGAAAGUGUGGGUAUCAAACAGGAUUAGAUACCCUGGUAGUCCACACAGUAAACGAUGAAUACUCGCUGUUUGCGAUAUACAGUAAGCGGCCAAGCGAAAGCAUUAAGUAUUCCACCUGGGGAGUACGCCGGCAACGGUGAAACUCAAAGGAAUUGACGGGGGCCCGCACAAGCGGAGGAACAUGUGGUUUAAUUCGAUGAUACGCGAGGAACCUUACCCGGGCUUAAAUUGCAGUGGAAUGAUGUGGAAACAUGUCAGUAAGCAAUCACCGCUGUGAAGGUGCUGCAUGGUUGUCGUCAGCUCGUGCCGUGAGGUGUCGGCUUAAGUGCCAUAACGAGCGCAACCCUUAUCUUUAGUUACUAACAGGUUAUGCUGAGGACUCUAGAGAGACUGCCGUCGUAAGAUGUGAGGAAGGUGGGGAUGACGUCAAAUCAGCACGGCCCUUACGUCCGGGGCUACACACGUGUUACAAUGGGGGGUACAGAAGGCAGCUAGCGGGUGACCGUAUGCUAAUCCCAAAAUCCUCUCCCAGUUCGGAUCGAAGUCUGCAACCCGACUUCGUGAAGCUGGAUUCGCUAGUAAUCGCGCAUCAGCCACGGCGCGGUGAAUACGUUCCCGGGCCUUGUACACACCGCCCGUCAAGCCAUGGGAGCCGGGGGUACCUGAAGUACGUAACCGCAAGGAUCGUCCUAGGGUAAAACUGGUGACUGGGGCUA